rnacentral:miRNA from 1 species
UGGGUGGUCUGUAGAUUUGUUU